UGAACGCUGGCGGCGUGCCUAAUACAUGCAAGUCGAGCGAACAGACGAGGAGCUUGCUCCUCUGACGUUAGCGGCGGACGGGUGAGUAACACGUGGAUAACCUACCUAUAAGACUGGGAUAACUUCGGGAAACCGGAGCUAAUACCGGAUAAUAUAUUGAACCGCAUGGUUCAAUAGUGAAAGACGGUUUUGCUGUCACUUAUAGAUGGAUCCGCGCCGCAUUAGCUAGUUGGUAAGGUAACGGCUUACCAAGGCAACGAUGCGUAGCCGACCUGAGAGGGUGAUCGGCCACACUGGAACUGAGACACGGUCCAGACUCCUACGGGAGGCAGCAGUAGGGAAUCUGCCGCAAUGGGCGAAAGCCUGACGGAGCAACGCCGCGUGAGUGAUGAAGGUCUUCGGAUCGUAAAACUCUGUUAUUAGGGAAGAACAAAUGUGUAAGUAACUAUGCACGUCUUGACGGUACCUAAUCAGAAAGCCACGGCUAACUACGUG
rnacentral:rRNA from 1 species